rnacentral:tRNA from 1 species
UCCUGGCUGGCUCAGCUGGUGGAGCGCGAGACUCUUGAUCUCAGGGUUGUGAGUUCAAGCCCCACGCUGAGUG